rnacentral:rRNA from 1 species
GACGAACGCUGGCGGCGUGCUUAACACAUGCAAGUCGAACGGAAAGGCCCUGCUUUUGUGGGGUGCUCGAGGGGCGAACGGGUGAGUAACACGUGAGUAACCUGCCCUUGACUUUGGGAUAACUUCAGGAAACUGGGGCUAAUACCGGAUAGGAGCUCCUGCUGCAUGGUGGGGGUUGGAAAGUUUCGGCGGUUGGGGAUGGACUCGCGGCUUAUCAGCUUGUUGGUGGGGGAGGGGCUUACCAAGGCUUUGGCGGGUAGCCGGCCGGGGAGGGUGGCCGGGGACCUGGGGCCUACGAUACGGCCCAGUCUCCUAUGUGAGGCAGCAGUGGCGAACCUUGCACAACGGGCCCGAGCCUGUUGCAGCAACCCCGCGUGCGUGAUGACCGCCUUCGGGUUGUGAACCGCUUUCGCCUGUGACCAAGCGGUAGUGACGGUAAUGGGUAAAGAAGCACCGGCUAACUACGUG